rnacentral:misc_RNA from 1 species
GAAAUGCGAUAAGUAAUGUGAAUUGCAGAAUUCAGUGAAUCAUCGAAUCUUUGAACGCACAUUGCGCUCGCCAGUAUUCUGGCGAGCAUGCCUGUUCGAGCGUCAUUUCAACCAUCAAGCUCUGCUUGCGUUGGGGAUCCGCGGCUGCCCGCGGUCCCUCAAAAACAGUGGCGGGCUCGCUAGUCACACCGAGCGUGGUAACUCUACAUCGCUAUGGUCGUGCGGCGGGUUCUUGCCGUAAAACCCCCAAUUUCUAAGGUUGACCUCGGAUCAGGUAGGAAUACCCGCUGAACUUAAGC